rnacentral:tRNA from 4 species
GCCACCAUAGCUCAGGGGUAGAGCAGGGGUUUUGUAAACCUCUGGUCGGGGGUUCAAAUCCCUCUGGUGGCUCCA